GACAUGUCUUAUGGAGAGGGGCUUUCGCCUGUUCCCUGUUUCAGGCUGGUCCAGAGUCUGAGCCCCACCUCCAGAGUCGAGUCCCGCCUCCUCCCUCAACACUAGCCGACCUUCUAACUCCAGGGUAGCACAGGUCCCACCCAGCUCAGAGCAGGUAUUCUGGCAAGUUUUGGGGGCAGAACGUCCUUGUCCUUGAGGCAUGGUCCGGUCCAGGAGGCAGGCAUGGCCACAGAUGGUGACCGCAGCAGUGUGGGGCUCAGAGGCAUGAAUAAAACCCACAGGAAGGAGAGACUGCAGUAAACAGAAUUAAUGCCUCCUAAAGAUGUCUGUGUCCUAAUCCCCAAAACCCACAGAUACACUGCCUUCACAGGAAAAGGGACUUUGCAGAUGUGAUUAAGUUAAGGCUCUUGAGACAGGAAGAUUAUCCUGGAUCCUCUGAGCCCAGUGUCACCAUGAGGGUCCUUAUAAGAGAAAGGCAGGAAAGGCAGAGUCAGAGAGGAUGUAAGGACAGAAACAGGGAUGUGAGGCCGAAAUCCAAGGAAUGACACAGCCUCCAGAAGCCAGAAGAGGCAAGGAUUGGAUUAUCCCCAAGAGCCUCAGAAGGGACACACUCAUGUCGACCGCCACAGCUGUAAAAGGCAGAAGGAUGGGCGUAUAAAUUUGAAUGUAUGGAUGCUGAAAGACUUAGAGGAACACGUGUGAAAAUGUUUACAAAAAUUAUCUCCAAAAAAGGUAUCUACUCAAUGGGAAUGAAUGCUUGGAUCUACGAAAGACUUAUAUGUGAAUGUUUGCAAUAGCUUCCUCCUUAAUAGUCAGAACCUGGAAACCAUCAGAUGUCCAUCAGCACUACACUUGAUACAUAAAUUGUGGCAUAUUCACAUAAUAGCUUACAAUAUAGCAAUAAACAAACUGCAAAAAUA